GCGCACGGCGCGCCGGGAAUUUGAGGACGCUCUGGCAGCUGGUCGGGCGGCUGAGUUCGCUUGGGGUGAGGUGUCUGUUUUGCCGUUUUACUUUUAACAAAUGCUGGGUUUUUAAUGUACGCCACUCCUGGUUUUUCAUUUUUCUCCACAUAGGUGUAUUUAUUCUCUUCCCACUCCAUGGCCUGCUGCCGCGCAGCGUUCUGAUCGAAUCCCUUAAUUGUCCGCAACUUUCCUUAGGGAUUCGCUUUCCAUUUCCUGUGUGUGUUCGACUAAACUGAUAGACUCCAAAAUUUGUCAUUGAGUCUCUGGGGGACUAAGCAGGAUUCUGCCUUUGCACAUUAUGUUCCCGUGGGCGAGGACUUCUUAAUGCUCACUUGAAUGCUUGGUGCCAACCUCUGCCCCUAGUUAGCGCUUCUCGUGGAUCCCUGUCUGCCUGCCCUUCUGCGUUUGAAACUCCGUGAGAGCAGCUAGUAUGAAGAUUAGCCCUGAGCUAACAUCUGCUGCCAAUUCUCUUUUUUGCUGAUGAAGACUGAGCUAACAUCUGUGCCCAUCUUCUUCUACUUUAAAUGUGGGGUGCCUGCCACAGCAUGGUUUGACAAGCAGUGCAUAUGUCUGCACCCAGGAUCCGAACUGGUGAACCCCAGGCCACCAAAGUGGAACGUGCCGACUUAACUGCUGCACCACCAGGCUGGCCCAGGAUUAUACCUUUUAAAGAAAGAAUUAUAACAACAGAAGAGGAGUAGAGAACAAAGAAAACUUUGGCAAUUAUUUUCAGGGAGCACUUACAUGGGACACAGUAACUAUGAAUCUCAGUACACAAAUUCAGGCAUGAAAAAAGGAUGAUCAUAGUGAGGAAUGUGAGAAAGAAUACAGAACUGGGAACGGAGAUAUUUGGGAACAGAUAUUGCUGGGAAUUCAGCCACUCUGAUGUGAGGCAGCCCAAGCAGCCCAUGGAGAGAUCUGUGUGGAGAAAAACCAAGGUCCCUGACAACAGUCUCAGCAGAGUCCCCAGCCAGGAACCAGCAGUAACUGCCAGCCUUGUGAGUGAGACCAUUUAGACCUCUAGUCAUCCCAGCACCCCCACUGACACCAUGACCCCUGACAAAGAAGAGAAACUACUUUGCCAGUCACUGCCUGAAUUCCUGACUCACAGAAUCAUGAGCAAAUAAACAAUUUUUGUUUUAAGCAA
rnacentral:lncRNA from 1 species